GAUGAACGCUGGCGGCAGGCUUAACACAUGCAAGUCGAACGCCCCGCAAGGGGAGUGGCAGACGGGUGAGUAACGCGUGGGAACGUACCUUUCAGUUCGGAAUAACUCAGGGAAACUUGUGCUAAUACCGGAUACGUCCGUAAGGAGAAAGAUUUAUCGCUGAAAGAUCGGCCCGCGUUGGAUUAGCUAGUUGGUGGGGUAAAGGCCUACCAAGGCGACGAUCCAUAGCUGGUCUGAGAGGAUGAUCAGCCACAUUGGGACUGAGACACGGCCCAAACUCCUACGGGAGGCAGCAGUGGGGAAUAUUGGAAAUGGGGGCAACCCUGAUCCAGCCAUGCCGCGUGAGUGAUGAAGGCCUUAGGGUUGUAAAGCUCUUUCACCGGGGAAGAUAAUGACGGUACCCGGAGAAGAAGCCCCGGCUAACUUCGUGCCAGCCGCCGCAGUAA
rnacentral:rRNA from 1 species